AUUGAACGCUGGCGGCAGGCUUAACACAUGCAAGUCGAGCGGGGUGAUGGUGCUUGCACUAUCACUUAGCGACGGACGGGUGAGUAAUGCUUAGGAAUCUGCCUAUUAGUGGGGGACAACAUCUCGAAAGGGAUGCUAAUACCGCAUACGUCCUACGGGAGAAAGCAGGGGAUCACUUGUGACCUUGCGCUAAUAGAUGAGCCUAAGUCGGAUUAGCUAGUUGGUGGGGUAAAGGCCUACCAAGGCGACGAUCUGUAGCGGGUCUGAGAGGAUGAUCCGCCACACUGGGACUGAGACACGGCCCAGACUCCGACGGGAGGUAGCAGUGGGGAAUAUUGGACAAUGGGGGGAACCCUGAUCCAGCCAUGCCGCGUGUGUGAAGAAGGCCUUAUGGUUGUAAAGCACUUUAAGCGAGGAGGAGGCUCUUUUGGUUAAUACCCAAGAUGAGUGGACGUUACUCGCAGAAUAAGCACCGGCUAACUCUGUGCCAGCCGCCGCGGUAA
rnacentral:rRNA from 1 species